rnacentral:rRNA from 1 species
CAUUCCUACGGGGCGCAGCAGUGAGGAAUAUUGGUCAAUGGGCGAGAGCCUGAACCAGCCAAGUCGCGUGAAGGAUGACGGCCCUACAGGUUGUAAACUUCUUUUGUCAGGGAGCAAUUGAGUCCACGUGUGGGCUUAGCGAGAGUACCUGAAGAAAAAGCAUCGGCUAACUCCGUGCCAGCAGCCGCGGUAAUACGGAGGAUGCGAGCGUUAUCCGGAUUUAUUGGGUUUAAAGGGUGCGUAGGCGGAAUAUCAAGUCAGCGGUAAAAAUUCGGGGCGCAACCC